GCCGGGCGUGGUGGCACACGCCUGUAGUCCCAGCUGCUCGGGAGGCUGAGGUGGGAGGAUCGCUUGAGUCCAGGAGUUCUGGGCUGCAAUGCACUAUGCCGAUCGGGUGUCCGCACUAAGUUCGGCAUCAAUAUGGUGACCUCCCGGGAGCAGGGGACCACCAGGUUGCCUAAGGAGGGGUGAACCGGCCCAGGUCGGAAACGGAGCAGGUCAAAACUCCCCUGCUGAUCAGUAGUGGGAUCGCGCCUGUGAAUAGCCACUGCACUCCAGCCGGGGCAAUAUAGUGAGACCCUGU
rnacentral:SRP_RNA from 1 species